rnacentral:rRNA from 1 species
GCGAGGUGGUGCUAAUCCUAGAAAGUUUCUCGUAGUCCGGAUUGGAGUCUGCAACUCGACUCCAUGAAGUCGGAAUCGCUAGUAAUCGCGGAUCAGCAUGCCGCGGUGAAUACGUUCUCGGGUCUUGUACACACCGCCCGUCACACCAUGGAAGUGGAUUGCACCAGAAGUAGAUAGUCUAACCUUCGGGAGGGCGUUACCACGGUGUGCUUCAUGACUGGGGUGAAGUCGUAACAAGGUAGCCGUAGGGGAACCUGUGGCUGGAUCACCUCCUU